rnacentral:rRNA from 1 species
AGAGUUUGAUCAUGGCUCAGGAUGAACGCUAGCUACAGGCUUAACACAUGCAAGUCGAGGGGCAUCGAGUUUGGUUUGCUUGCAAACCAAAGCUGGCGACCGGCGCACGGGUGAGUAACACGUAUCCAACCUGCCGUCUACUCUUGGACAGCCUUCUGAAAGGAAGAUUAAUACAAGAUGGCAUCAUGAGUCCGCAUGUUCACAUGAUUAAAGGUAUUCCGGUAGACGAGUGGGGAUGCGUUCCAUUAGAUAGUAGGCGGGGUAACGGCCCACCUAGUCUUCGAUGGAUAGGGGUUCUGAGAGGAAGGUCCCCCACAUUGGAACUGAGACACGGUCCAAACUCCUACGGGAGGCAGCA